rnacentral:lncRNA from 1 species
CCCCCAUCCGCAGGUUCUAACUUUGGCCUGGGACUCUGCCCCUCUACCUCAGCACAGAAUCGCCCCGGGUCCUACUACAGAAUCAAUCCUUGAACACUGCCUCCACGUCGCCGGCUCAAUCUGGGCGAGAACCCAGACUUCCACCGCAGCCCCGCAAUCUGCAGACCUCAGCGGCAGCGCAGGUGGCAGACCUGCCUCCUUUGCCUGUGAGUCAUGGCAGCUCCCAUGAAUGGCCAAGUGUGUGUGGUGACUGGUGCCUCCAGGGGUAUUGGCCGUGGCAUUGCCUUGCAGCUCUGCAAAGCAGGCGCCACAGUUUACAUCACUGGCCGCCAUCUGGACACCCUUCGCGUUGUUGCUCAGGAGGUGAGUGCUUCCUCUGGGACCACAGUUGCAGAAACCACCCGAGAGAGCCCUUCCACUUAACAGCUCCUUUCCUAAUCCCUUACCUGAAACUAUAAUACUACUCAACAAGAUGUGAAUAUUUAUUCAAAGUGGAAAUUAAAAACCCCGUAAAUAACUUCAGGUAAGGUAGAAUUUUGCCGCCAAGUGAGUUUUAUGAAAAAACUUUGUGUUUGAGCCAGGCAUGGUGGCACGUUCCUGCAGUCCCAG